rnacentral:tRNA from 1 species
GGUCAGUUAGUUCAGUUGGUAGAACGUUUCACUCAUAAUGGAGAGGCUUCACUGGUUCAAGUCCAGUACUGACCA